UCCCUUUAAAAAGUCCGAUUCAGGUUGCCGUUGUCUCACAUGAAGCUACAGGAGCGGGACUAUGAGAGCACUCGGGUUUGCCGAUGCAGUUCACACUCACAGAGACUGUCGAAGAGGAUCAUUGGCAGGUUUUCACAUGUGUGGAUGAAGAAGCGCCGUGGCGAUCCAAGGCUGAGUGCCGAUUACUCUCCCGCUUUGCUUCACAUGUUCGGCUGUGACAAAGCAUAACGCUGAGAACUGCUGGAGAAGAAGGAGGAGGAGGAGGAGAAGAAGAACAACACAGCAGAAGGCCCCGGAGAAACGCUGCGGCGCCACAGAAGGAGUUCCUGAAGACGAAAACGGAACAGAGGAAAGCUGCACGGGAGGAAAAGCAGAGGGGGAGUGGGGAGAUAUAUUGAGAGAAAAGAGAGAAGCACCGGAGAUAUUCCGAGGAGUGGAGGAUAGAGAGUCACGAAAAGGAGAGAGGAGACAGAAGGGAGAGAAAAAAACGUGGCCAAGCAUGAGAGAGGAGGAGCACUCGAAUGAUGACCACCCUGAGGGAGGGGUGGUUUCCAGCGAGGAGAACACGGUCAGACCACCAUCUAACGCCUGUCCUGUCGUCGUCGCCACGCCGGGGGUCAACGGGCGUAAGCGGCAGACGGGCCCACCCACGGAGGAUCACGUUACGACAGUCGCUCCCAACACAUCGGCGAACGACUGCAAGAUCAAGCCAGCGGAAGACAUCCAGGUCUACACGCUGACCGGACCGAAAAGAGUCAAAAAGAGUCCUCAACAUCGGCCGCCUUCCUCUGGCCCGUCCCUCUCUCCGGGCCCCGGUAAUAGUCCUGGAGAUCUCUCCUCCCUCGAGGACCCGCACGGCCAACGGGUCAUCGCCAACAUCCGGGAGCGCCAACGGACACAAUCUCUGAAUGACGCCUUCUCCUCGUUGCGCCAGAUAAUCCCGACGCUGCCCUCCGACAAACUGAGCAAGAUCCAGACCCUGAAGUUGGCGUCGCGCUACAUUGACUUCCUGUACCAGGUUCUGCAGAAUGACGAGAUGGACACUAAGCUGGCUGGAUGUAACUACCUGGCCCACGAGAAACUGAGCUACGCCUUCUCUGUGUGGAGGAUGGAGGGGGCUUGGUCGACCAUGUCUGCUGGUCACUAGCCCUGCCUGAAAGCAAGGUUCGUCUUUUGACUGUUUGCCUUAAAGCGUAUGGCGAAUGCCACGCGAUAGGGGAGUAUUGUGACUUGACACCAAGGUCUGAAGAGAAAUCUGAACUGUGUCUUCUCACCAGCGGACUAUCUGACACCUCGAUAUCGAUCAUCUCCAGGAUGACGGGCAGACUGUUUGACAUUCGAGCGUGAUCCUUUUGACGGAGCUGAUUUUUAAGCCACUAUCCCUUCAUGGAGGGAUUUCAUCGUUGUGACAUAUCAGACGGUAUCUUAUAAUAAUUCUAUUGUUUUGCUUGCCAAAAGCAGCUAAUGCUGCUCAAGGGAGCCAAGGACAUUGUUAAAGAAAAGAAUCAUAACAGGGACGUUGUGCUCAGUGUUUGAUUCCUAGCUUCUUCUUCUUUCUUUUUUUAAAGGCACCAUUACUAUCGUCUUCUUCAUAGGUAUGCAUACUUCGAGCCACAUUUGGACUUCAUUUCAUUUUAUUUAACUUUAUUUCUGUCUCAGGCGAGCAAGUGUAUGAAGUGUUGUGUAAUAUUUAACGAGCAGCAACAAGAAAAUGCAGAGAAAGGAUUUGAGGAAAGUCAGGACUGGAAAGACAGAAUUGGAUGUUCCAAGAGGGAUUGGACCUUUGACUUUUCCGUACCCUUUCAACUCCCACUUUGCCAAGACUUACAUAUCAUGAAUCCCUGGCCGCCGCUUAACAGAAGCGACGGUGGAAAAAGUAUCCACGGGCAGCCGUCGUCUUGACUUAAGUUUCUCCUCUUUGUACCCAAACGGAGCCCCUUUGUUUCUUCGGGUGCCAAAAAAACUCUCCUCUUGAAAUUCUUUCCUCUCGUUCUGGCCCAAAUUUGCUUGCGUUGCACGAAACGGUGAUGCAGCUACAGCGAGCUGACGAGGAGGCGUAAUGAAAACAAACUGCCUCGCAAAAGCCAUGAAUCAUGUGUGUCACCAUCAAAGGGGAGGCUGAUGUGGCUCCCCGCUGGGCUCCCAUAAACCACUGGAAGUGAUGGAGGAGCUGCUGAAUAAAAGGGACUGUGAUCUUCCGUGUACAUUUCUGCUCCGUGCUACCGUUACUGCCACUCUAAGCACAUGGACUUUGAUGCGAAUGGGAUUUUUCGACGAGGAUGCGAGGACAUUUCUGGACCAACUAAACCAACAAAGAGCUUUCCAUUACUCAGAGCGCACAGAAGUUGACAUUACAGGUCAAGUUGGAUCAGUUUUGGUGUUUCAUGCUUUACCCCCUGGAUGUUAUUCUGAAGGAACCUCUAUGAUAGCUGUCACUGUAGGACAAACUUAACCUGCAGCUAAAGCAAGACUUCAAUCUCAGACAGCGAUUGGUGCGUUUGUCUCUUUUUACACCAGUUUACAGGCUUUGUUUUGGCUUUUUUUAGGCCCAUUUACUUGAAGAAUAUACAUCGUGGUGCUUUUUGUAAAAAACAAACAAAAACACUGAGUGACACUGAUACAGCAUGACUGACAAAAUAUAUAACAAGCAGAAAUAAAUCCCUGGAGAACUAGAUGUGGUGAUACGCGAGUCAAUAUUUGUCGAAAGAAAUUAAACUGUCUUCAAACUAUU